rnacentral:snRNA from 1 species
AUACUUACUUGGAUGGGGUCGAUGGGCAAUCAAGAAGACCCAUGGCCUAGGGUAGUGAGCUCCAUUGCACGUGGGAGGGGUGUUGCCCUAAGGUCUCCCUAAGUGGGAGAGAAAAAAAAGCUCUAUAUAAUAGAGUCAUCACACUCUC